AUGGCUGCGUUCAACCACCUGCUCUUCUUCCUCGUCGUCGCCCUUGCCGCCAGCAGCAUCACCAGCGCAGCCGCGGCUGCGGGCUAUGACGACGACGUGCAGCUGCGGAAGGUGGCCAUGUCGCAGGCCGUCAAGGUCCUGUCCCGCUACAGCCCGGGGACCACCGACCAGGAGACGCUGAAGCGGGCGUUGGCGGUGGUGAACCGGGAGGCGCAGCGGUACUGGAAGCCCAUCUUCAACAACGUCAACAGGGUGAUGGACAGCGGCGCCGACCACCGCAGCAAGGAGGCGGCGUUCGCCGUGGCCAAGGAGCUGCUCAACCGCGAGCUCGGCCAAGGCCCCAACGCCGUCAAGAUCGACUUCGAAUAUGCGUGA
rnacentral:rRNA from 1 species